AGCAGCCGCGGUAAUUCCAGCUCCAAUAGCGUAUAUUAAAGUUGUUGCAGUUAAAAGCUCGUAGUUGAAUUUCGGGAUUGACACAUCGGUCGUGCCUUAAGGGGUAUGAACUGGUGUAGUCAAUUUCUCACCUUCUGGAGAACCGCGAUGCCCUUAAUUGGGUGUCGCGGGGAACCAGGACCUUUACUUUGAAAAAAUUAGAGUGUUUAAAGCAGGCAUUUUGCUUGAAUACAUUAGCAUGGAAUAAUAAAAUAGGACGGCAUGAUUCUAUUUUGUUGGUUUCUAGGAUCACCGUAAUGAUUAAUAGGGAUAGUUGGGGGCAUUAGUAUUCAAUUGUCAGAGGUGAAAUUCUUGGAUUUAUUGAAGACUAACUACUGCGAAAGCAUUUGCCAAGGAUGUUUUCAUUAAUCAAGAACGAAAGUUAGGGGAUCGAAGACGAUCAGAUACCGUCGUAGUCUUAACCAUAAACUAUGCCGACUAGGAAUCAGACGAUGUUAAUUUUUUAAUGACUCGUUUGGCA
rnacentral:sRNA from 1 species